AUGGGAUGGAGCUGGGUCUUUCUCUUCCUCCUGUCAGUAACUGCAGCUGUCCACUGCCAGGUCCAGCUGCUGCAGUCUGCAGCUGAGCUGGUGAAGCCUGGGGCUCCAGUGAAGCUGUCCUGCAAAGCUUCUGGCUACACCGUCAAUGACCACUAUAUGGAGCAGGUAAAGCAGAGGCCUGGACAGAGCAUGGAAUGGAUUGGACAGAUUCAUUUUGUAUAUGGUGGUACUGAAUACAAUGAAAAGUUCGAGGGUAAGUCCACAAUAACUGUAGAAAAAUCCUCCAACACAGCCUACAUGGAACUCAACAGCUCAACAUCUGAAGACUCUGUGGUUUAUUACUGUGCAUGUCACAGUGUUAUAACCAUAUCCUGUGUGUGUCAAAAACCCUGA